rnacentral:rRNA from 1 species
GACGAACGCUGGCGGCGUGCUUAACACAUGCAAGUCGAACGAAAGGACGGGAAGAGCUUGCUCUUUCCGGAAUUGAGUGGCAAACGGGUGAGUAACACGUAAACAACCUGCCUUCAGGAUGGGGACAACAGACGGAAACGACUGCUAAUACCGAAUAAGUUCCAAGAGCCGCAUGGCCCAUGGAAGAAAAGGUGGCCUCUACCUGUAAGCUAUCGCCUGAAGAGGGGUUUGCGUCUGAUUAGCUGGUUGGAGGGGUAACGGCCCACCAAGGCGACGAUCAGUAGCCGGUCUGAGAGGAUGAACGGCCACACUGGAACUGAGACACGGCCCAAACUCCUACGGGAGGCAGCAGUGGGGAAUAUUGCACAAUGGGGGAAACCCUGAUGCAGCGACGCCGCGUGAGUGAUGAAGUAUUUCGGUAUGUAAAACUCUAUCAGCAGGGAAGAUAAUGACGGUACCUGACUAAGAAGCACCGGCUAAAUACGUG